UUUUAGAUGUUGAAACAUUUUUCUAUUCAACAGAGAUGGGAAUACUUAUAAAUCUGUUUGGUAGAAAAAGAUUCACAACCAACUAGUAUUACCAACAAAAAAAACAUUUUCUAACAUCCCAAUUCGUCAAUUGCCAAAAUCCCAUACAAAAAUCAAUAAAGUGAAAGAAAAAUUGCACAAAAAUGUUACUCCUAGAUCUCUAAGGAGAAAUGUUAUUUACCUCAGCAGCUGCAUAGACGAAGAAGUUGAACAUAACGUGACGGUUGGGGCGGUGAGUACGGCGGGAAAGGAAGUCAUUUUUUACCACUACUUCCGUACGGGGCGACGGGCUACGUGUAGUGAAGUAUACCUUAUCCUCUCUUUUUUGUUGUUGUUUUUAAAUAAUUAAAUUUUAUUAAAAAAAAUAAAAAGAAGUUUUAAAACCUUUGGAAAGCUAUAUAUUCUUACAGGAAGUUUUAAGUUUUAACCCUUUGGAAAGCUAUAUAUUUACAUUAAAUAAAUAAAUAAGACUGCAACAUUAAUACUAUGCUUCAAUACAAUACCCUACCCUGAUUAGACUUAGAUUGAACGGUGAGUUUACAAUCAAGCGCUAUUUCUUAAAAUUUCCAAUAACUACUACAACCAGUGUGACUAAUUAACAUCAUGAUUCCCUGUACUUGGUUAGAUCAAAGGACAGUGUUCUCGAGCUUCUGCAAAAUGUUUCGAGUCGUAUUAGCAACAAUAUGAAUUUUAAAUCUGUAUAUAUAUCCAUAAUUCUUACCCUUUUUCUGAGUCUCUGUAGACACCAAUCAGUGCCUCCGCCUUGUCAUAAAAUGUAUCCUUUAGUGAUAUUACAAUGCUCUGAAAACCAUUAUUAACAUUUUCCAGGACCUCCUGGUUGCUGUUCUUAGCAAUUUGGCAUGAUUUUGUUCGGAUGAAUGCAGCAACCUUGGCAACAUUUAAAUUAUCUAAUGCAGCGUCAACUUCGUCCAAUAUGUAGAAUGGAGAAGGUCUGUAGCUGCACAUCAAAAAAAGAAUAACGAAAGGACAGUUCUUAUAUCAUCCUUCACAAACACAACCAGCAAAUAUAUUUGUUUUAUUUUAUCGGGAAAAAAGAUUGCAGGAAGGAAAGAAAACAAAAUAUAACACAAAUACAGAGUAGGAAAUGAAUACUACAAGAAUUAGACAAUUAAUGAUUUAAUCAAACUUUAAACUGUCUAAACAAUCAGGGGAUUACUGCAAGUCUGCUAG
rnacentral:lncRNA from 1 species